rnacentral:rRNA from 1 species
AUUGAACGCUGGCGGCAUGCCUAACACAUGCAAGUCGAACGAGUGGCGGACGGGUGAGUAAUGUCUGGGAAACUGCCCGAUGGAGGGGGAUAACUACUGGAAACGGUAGCUAAUCCCGCAUACCAUCAGAUGUGCCCAGUUGGGGUUAGCUUGUUGGUGGGUGAACGGCUCACCAAGGCGACGAUCCCUAGCUGGUCUGAGGGGAUGACCAGCAACAGUGGAGCUGAGACACGGUCCAGACUCCUACGGGAGGCAGCAGUGGGGAAUAUUGGACAAUGGGCGGAAGGCUGUAGCAGCCAUGCCGCGUGUAUGAGGAAGGCCAUCGGGUUGUAAAGUACUUUCAGCGGGGAGGCGUUACCCGCAGAAGAAGCACCGGCUAACUCCGUGCCAGCAGCCGCGGUAAUAC